GUUAGGCACUAAUAUUCAGACAAAUGAAGAGGUCGCCAUUAAGCUUGUGAGUCUUCUUCGCUUCAAUUUUAUGAAUAUCUUCUAUCUUCAAUUUUAUGAAUAUCUUCUAUCUUCAAUUUUAUGAAUAUCUUCUAUCUUCAAUUUUAUGAAUAUCUUCUAUCUUCAAUUUUAUGAAUAUCUUCUAUCUUCUAUCUUCAAUUUUAUGAAUAUCUUCAAUUUUAUGAAUAUCUUCAAUUUUAUGAAUAUCUUCAAUUUCAUGAAUAUCUUCAAUUUCAUGAAUAUCUUCAAUUUCAUGAAGUUGUUUUGUGCUUCAUGAUUUUUAGUCAUUUUCUAACACCCUAAUGCAUUGCCUGUUUUGAUUAGAAACACUCAUUUAACCUCAUUUUAUCAAUGGGUUUAUAGAACUGUUGGGGUUGUAGACAUAUCCUUUAAUUGGCAAUGCAGAGGGUUGGCUUAUUGCACAUUGUUGAAUUUGAGAUUUGCAAGUGGGUUACAAUCUUAAAAACUGAAGGCUGCUUCAAAUUUGGAAGAAAAUGUGCUGGGUCUAGCAGGAACUAAUUUGGAAAUUUUGGCUAAUUUUUGCAUGGAGUCCGUUCCACAAUUGUCUUUUACAAUAUGUUAUUUUAUUUUCAACACAUCCCCAAUGUUAGGAAUUUCCAGGUGCACUUGAUAAUUUUAAUUUGACUUGGUGAGUAAUAUUCUAUUGAAAUUGACUAUAUUUGAAUUGGAACCUCGGUAGUUCGGCACUCACUUGAAUUCUUCUCCUCCUCUUUAAGCCUUGCUGAAAGAAAUAGUCAUGAGGUGUCUGUAUGCAGAAUGUGGAGUUGAUUAUUCAAACAAGUGAUUUUCCUUUUUUGUUUUUGUUGGACUUAUCAGUUGUGUUGUUAAUAUAAAGUUUCUUGUUUUUUAAACAAUUAAAUGGUGAAAGGUCCUAUAAAAAAGAAUAAAAAAAUAAGAAAGGGAAACAAAUGAAAAAAGAAAACUAUUAAUUGGUUAAGAGUGCUAAAAGUCCAAAGUUUAUCUUGAAAUGCUUGGGGAGUCUUCUUGACCCAAUGGUGAAUAUAAUAUUGUGCAAAAAGAUGUAUAUUAUCAAUUUGUUAAUAAAGAUGUUCUGAUGUCACAAUAUAGAUUGAAAGGGUGCUUAGAG
rnacentral:lncRNA from 1 species